UUUAAACUUGCUUUUCAAACUUAGCGGCGGACGGGUGAGUACACGUGGGCACCUGCCCUUGAGACGGGGAUAACUCCGGGAAACCGGAGCUAAUACCGGAUAACACAUAUCUUCGCAUGAGGAUAUGUUAGAAGGUGGCUUUUAGCUACCACUCAAGGAUGGGCCCGCGGCGCAUUAGCUAGUUGGUGAGGUAACGGCUCACCAAGGCGACGAUGCGUAGCCGACCUGAGAGGGUGAUCGGCCACACUGGGACUGAGACACGGCCCAGACUCCUACGGGAGGCAGCAGUAGGGAAUCUUCCGCAAUGGACGAAAGUCUGACGGAGCAACGCCGCGUGAGUGAUGAAGGUUUUCGGAUCGUAAAGCUCUGUUGUUAGGGAAGAACAAGUAUCUGUUGAAUAAGCAGGUACCUUGGACGGUACCUAACCAGAAAGCCACGGCUAACUACGUGCCAGCAGCCGCGGUAAUACGUAGGUGGCAAGCGU
rnacentral:rRNA from 1 species